UACUAGAGUAGCACUCGCAUAUCAAUAAGCGGAGGAAAAGAUACUAACAAGGAUUCCCCUAGUAACGGCGAGUGAAGCGGGAAGAGCUCAAAUUUUGAAAUCUUAAGGGGUUUCCCUUUACGAAUUGUAGUUUAAAGAAGUGUUUUCUGUUGAGGUUUUGGUAAAAGUUCUUUGGAAUAGGACAACAUAGAGGGUGAGAAUCCCGUAUUUGACCUUUACUUUCAACUUUGUGAUACACUUUCAAAGAGUCGGAUUGUUUGGGAAUGCAGUCCAAAAUGGGUGGUAAAUUUCAUCUAAAGCUAAAUAUUGGCGAGAGACCGAUAGCGAACAAGUACCGUGAGGGAAAGAUGAAAAGAACUUUGAAAAGAGAGUUAAACAGUACGUGAAAUUGUCAAAAGGGAAGCGUUUGACACCAGUGUUGUUUUUCUGAAAAUCAAUUAAAGAACUGUUUAUGCUAAGUUGUUUAGACUUUAUCAGCUAACUGUUUAGUUUUGAGCUUUUCUUUAAUGCACUUUUCAGUUAACAAGUCAACAUCAAUUUCUUUUGCUGUAAAAAAGCUUGAGGAAGGUGGCUUGAGAUUCGUCUUAAGUGUUUAUAGCCUCUUGCCUAUGCAGUCGGAGAGAUUGAGGUCUGCAGCGUAGAUCCUUCGGGGCUAAAUGCAUUUGUGCUAAGUUAUAGCAUUUUAUAGACAACUUGUUGACUAUGAUUUGUCUUGUAGCUUACUCGCUUAUGUUAUUUUACCUACGCUUAGGAUGUUGAACUCUAUCACACACAG
rnacentral:rRNA from 1 species